CUGCAGCUCUCCUAGACCCCAUUUAACAGCUGACUGCCACUAAGGAAGGUUCUCUUUCUGGAGAUUGCUUCUUGUGGAGUUUGGUGUGAGCCUACAACACCGCCUCUCUGCCUUAGCCUGGUUGAAAUCUUCCAUGCAGCCAGUCCCUAAACAGUGAUGUGAGGCAGGAGCAGCUGCACAGUAAGGAGCUCUUGUGCAUACUCCAUGUCUGCAACGUGAGAACAGUCCAAACUUCUGAGUUUAGAUCUGAUGGAUGAAAUCUUUGUAGAAAGGAGUAUUUUGCUAGCUAAGCCUCAGCUUCAAAAGUGCUUUUCUCUGCCUCUCAGAUUGUUCCUGCUGUUGACCAUAAUAGACUGCUCAUUAGAAAGACCCUGACAGCAAUGGGCACAGAUCUAUUUCUUCUCCUGUGAUGUCUGGCUAGGCUGUUCCAAAAGCAGAUGGAUCUGGGAGAAACAUAAGAGCAAUUCAGUUCUCGUGGUGAGAAGGAAGGCUUGCUGGACAAGUGGCAUUUCUGACCCUCUAUCAGCCACAGCUGGACUGGCUGACGGUGGGGGGAGGCUAAGCAGGUGGGGGGGGCUGCUCCCUCUAGAAACCUUGCACCAAAGCAGGCAGCAGGAAAGAAUGUAGCAAGGUAACUGGUGGCAUUGUUCCCUCUGUGAGGAGGCCCUGCAGAAUGGGCUCAGGUAUUAAGGCUCCCCUUGGCAUCAGGAGAAAGCCCCGUGAAGUGCAGACUCCCAGGGUUUGGCUAAUGGGACUCCUUCCAUCAACCCCUUCAUUGCUUGUGGAGCAGCAGCAUGCUGCUGUGGAGGAAGUCACUUUGGAAAUUCCAUUUAGGACCUGCACUGGAGACAUUGGCUUGCAGAAGUUGAGCUAGUGAGAGGCUGCUCCUGCCAACAGAGCUCCAUGCAGAAACGCAGCUGUGCUGAACAGCUCCCAGUCAAACAAGAGGGAAGCAUCACAUAAACUCCAACCUCUUAUCUCUCGUGCACAUGAGAAAAGUAGCAGUGUGUGAACUUUGCGUUGCAUCGUGUGGAUAUCGUGGACCAAAAGCCUGCAGAACUGAAGGUGCUGAUUGUGCAGGGCUGCAGCUGUGAGGGGCACACAUGUUGGUCAUGCCAGCAGGCUUCUGCCUGCUGCUUUGUUCCCCUAGUCCCCUGCUGCUCCAGGACUUGCUGAGAUGGAUGUAAGCCACUGACACGUUUCCAUGGGUACCUGUUUGCAAUGCUGCUCUUGGGUAGCUUUGUCUCUCCCAAAGUCUGAAGCUUUGCAGUAGCUGUUGCGAAGGGUUUGUGCUGUUACUGCCCACAGCAGGGCAGGCGAGGUGUGCUGCUCGCUGCUCCUUUCCAUUCAGGGAAGUGCUGACAUGGCACAGCAGGUGCCGUGUGAAGAAAUCCGAGCUUCUGCCAGCUGCCCACUGAGCUCUGCAGCGGUUUGUGCCUUCUGAGAGGUUCAUUUAACUCAGAAGCAGUACUGCGUCUGCACUUACGCUGCUUCUGGUAUCUAGGCUGGUUUCUGAGAGUACCUACCUAGAGCAUUCACACUCCUGCUGCGGUGCGAUGCCUCUCCCUAGGUCAGUGCGAUGCCUGAGCCUGAACACCUAGAAGUAUGAAAAGCACUUGUCUUUGAGGAAAAAUAAUUGCUAUUUUCAUCCAGACAGGAUCUGCAGGAGCCAUUGCUGAGCCAGGCUGCCUGGAGCCCUGCGUAUCAAGCAGACACUGCCCUCAGGACAGGACGUUUGCUGCUCUCUGAGGGCAAACACCAGAGAGGCAACUGUGGGGAGACUCCUGCAAACCCACCUGCAGCUCCUCGCAGCCAGGCUGCUCGCAGCCACACCAUCCCCACUGCUGCAGGGAUUUUUUUCCAUGUGCAGUAACACAACUUCUCUGAGAGACUGCUUUUGCCUUUGGUUGUAGCCGGUGCCCAGAAGAGUUGCUCCAGGCUGUUUGGUGCUCAGCCAUCCCUUUCAUCCAUCAGUGCCCGCAUUUUUGUCUCUGAAUUUGGACUUAGAGCUCCUUGAAAGAAAAUAGGAAGGUUAUUUCAUAUGUGGAGGAAUUUAUUAAGCCUGGACCUGGAUCUCAUUCUUAUGCAAUGCAAAUGAGUAAUAACAAGCCUUCUUCAUUACCAGCUGAGCACUUGGGCCAUGGCUAUUAAAUCCUCGCCUCCCUUCAGUCUGUUUCUAUCAGACUGCCACAUUAAGCUGCAUCCUCAUCGGAAUUCAUAAAGCCAGCCCAGACUUGUGUUGGGAUCUAAGCCUGCAAAAUUAAAACUCGAGUAGCAGAACACAAUAUUUCUUUGGCUGUUGAGAGGAGCAAGCUGGGAUAUUUUGGGGCAUGGUGUACUGAAUGAGGCGUGACAUCACCUUGAUUACUUGUGAUAAUGAAAAAUUUCACAACAGCCAUAUGGCAAGGAAAAAGAAUAAGGGUCCAUUUAUCUCACUGCUCUGGUUUGGUUACAUAACACUGUCAUAAUGGGCAGAACCACCCUGGCUUUUGUAGUCCAUGAGUGAUUUCCAUCGCACAGCCCUGACUGCAUGCCCUGGAGGUGGCUGCAGAGGAGCUCCCAGAUGUGUGCAGUAUCCACCACCAUGCCUGGGAGAUGCCUGGAAGAACAGCACUGCAUCCAGACCUUUGCAUGUGAGAGACCAGUGUUGAAUCUUUGAAAAUCUUUUAGCUAGUUGGAGUUCUGCUGUAACUCUCAGCCACCGAGCAGAACUUUAAAAGUAUUAAUGACCUUUCCUUGCAUAAAAUGAGAAAAGCAGGGAACUGCCUAAGAGUGCAGCGGUGAUUCCAACCUCUUUUUUAUAUGGGAAUCCCUUUCUACUAGGGCCCUCAGCCCUCAGCUCAGGCUUUCCAUCAGCAGAUUUGUUCCAAAACACAGCUUCUCCCUCAAGCAAGCUGACUGCAUCCCUCGCGCAGGAGCCCUGGCUGCUCCAGCCAGGCAGCGCUGGCACCAGAUGGCAGAGCCCCAGAGCUCCGUGCCCCAGUCACAGAAUCACAGAAUGGCCUCAAUUGAAAAGGUCCACAGUGAUCAUCUAGUUUCAACCCCCCUGCUGUGUGCAGGCAGUCCUGCUGCCCCAAUGAGACCCCAAGCGGGAAAAGGCUUCUGGUCUCUUCCCCUUAAACUGUCCUGCUUUUUGUGGGGAGAACAAGUACUUGGUAAAUCAAUGAAAGGAAAAGGCCCCGUGGCUCUCUGUUGUAGGAACUAACUCAUUUGUUUGGGAGUACUGAGUGUCAAUGAUGGUUAUGGAUUUUAUACCAUACUCCCCCUUGAGUGAUUUCAUUCCUCGGAGACUCGCUAUUCAAGUUAAUUUGAGUUUCAAUUCAGAAUUGUGAGACUUUGGAAUUUAGAUUCAUUUCAUACGUGAAUGAGUAGCUAUCCCAGACUCAAUCAUUUCUGGAUAUUCAAGGCAGGGAGGGAUUUAAACUUUUAUCAUGUAUUCCAGAAAGAGAACCUACUUCUUCCCAAUCUGGGAUGGUGACUCCAGUCGCUAAAAUGGGGUAAAUGGGUCGGACAGGGUAGUCGCUGCUCUGGCUUCUGUGAGCUCUAAAAAUACCAGCUGAGUCAAGUCCCAGAGGUGAGAAAAGAGGAACACCUUAUGUGUGAAUUUGGAUGGAAUUUUGCGUAGGCUGAGCACCAACUGUUCAGCCUGUUGUGGAUCCUGCUCUGCUGGUCUGCAGUGACAUCUGAGUGAAAAAAUGAUCUCUGGGGGAGCUCCUCAGAGAUUUGGUGAAAGAAAGGGGGAAGCAAAAGGCUGUGAGCUGCCUUUUCUUUGCAGGUGAAAACUAUCAGCACUCUUCCUGGAGCACUUCCACAAACUGUAAUUAUGCUUUUGUGUAUCAAAGGAGAAGCAUGUUUGUACUGACCUGGUGUCUGGGGAGAUGAGAUAUUCCAUCUUGGGAAAUUGGCACCCUGGGGCUGGCUGCCUGCACACAGCUAUUGCAGGGUGCAGAUUCCCCUUGCAGUGUGGUCACAGUAAUCUGACAGUAUUCAGCCAAGGCAAUGGCAGUCUUUUCUGCUUUUAUUGCCUUUUGGUCAGGCUCUGGCUGGUCAAAUGGUGCUAACGCUAGUAGGACAGAUUUUACAGACCUCAGCCUGUAAUUUCAGCACUAUUGCAUUACCUUUAAAAGAAACAAAAACUAUCCCAGCGAGACACAGAUUAUUCAGAUAGAGGGUAAUAGAAUGGAAUCAUAGAAUUGCUCAGGUUGGAAAAGCCCUUAAAGAUCAUUAAGUCCAACCACAAUGUAACCAUUCUACCCGAACUCUAACAACCCUCUGCUAAAUCAUGUCCCUGAGCACCACAUCCAAACUGAAGUCUAAAUUGGUACUACCUGCACCUCCUGCUGUUUCUGGACUCCUGUGCAACCUUUCACUGACAUCGCUGAUGGUGCAGCAGAGCAUCUCUGCCACGGUGAGGUCCUCACCAGGACAUGGGCAGGGGCUGGGAGGUUAUACAACCUGGAAUUACGCAGUGGCUAGUAAAUUAUGGCAUGCGACGUGGCUGAGCUAUCUUCCCGCACCUUAACAGCCCGAAAGAAACCGAUUUGAAGAAACGGGCAGCUCGCUUGGAGGUCGGGCCUUUCAGCCGU